rnacentral:lncRNA from 1 species
AUGAAGCAAAUCAGCUGUCCUCGUAUCUGCGUCAUUAUCCUGAGCGCCGUCGUUUUUACGGCCGUGCUGGUUAUGAACGCUUUGGCCGGAGCAGGCAGAGGGCCUUUCUAUUCCUCCACGGGUAACGUGUCAUCACGCUAUGAGACCAACAUCACUCCAGCCGGCUGGACCUUCUCCAUCUGGGGUGUUAUCUAUACCUGGCUCACAUUGAUGGUCUUAUACCUCACCUCCUACGUGUUCAGGGGGUCCUGGGCUCAGAGUCUGCUGCCCUACACCUUCUAUUUCUGCUGGCUGGCCAACAUGGUGCUGAACAUCGCUUGGCUCCUGCUGUGGGACAGGGAGUUAAUGCUGGCAACUCUGGUUGUAUUAAUCCUCAUGGCCAUUUCCAGCUACAGUGCUUUGUGGUGCUGCUGCUUUGCCACAGAUCACUAUGGACUCUGGUUACAGACGUACCAUCGUAAAGACCUGGCCUGUCUCAGGAUACUGGUGCAGAACGGUUUGGCUCUAUAUGCCACCUGGCUCUCCAUCGCCUCCCUCAUCAACUUUGCUCUGGUUCUCCACAUGUGGGGUGUGGACAGAAGCACAGCAGCAACGGCGUCUCUGUGCAUCCUGUUUGCAGAGGUGAUGCUGUGGUUCAUUCUGGAGAACUGGGUGCUGGACCGUUGGGUGCGUAACAUCCUGACAAUCUACCCUGUGGUGAUCGUGGCUCUGGUGGGAAACGUCUUCAGACACUUCAAUGCAGCGGAUCCCACUCCAAACACUUUGUUCAUGGUUGUGCUGCUGGUGGUGGCGUGUGUCCUGUUGGUUUCCCGUCUAUGCACUGUGGUAUGGAGGAACAUGUGGCGGCCCCUCCACUCCCCCGGUUCAGCCCGGCUGAUGGUGUCGCCCCUCGAUGGCAGCAAGUUCAGGAUGUUUGCUUGAAAACGUACUGCUUGACUCCUGCUCCUCUAGCUCUGCAUUCAGAUGCUUCAGUGCAUUCGCAUCCUUGUUUUAUAUUUUCUCUGACCACUUCAUAUGUUGUGUUACUUUCCUUUAUAUUUUUUUGUGGGGGGAUGAAGCACUUUGUGCUACACUUUAUAAAUGAACAUUAAUUGAUUGAUAGGGAUUGAGAGGAGGUGGAUUUAAAACUGCAAAUGGUAUGUUAAUAUCAUCUAUAUGUAAUGUGCUUUUAUACAGAAUGUGCACAUAACUUUGUAAUACCUUAAAUGUAUUACUGUUUGAUAGAAAGUUUUAACUGAAACAAUGUGUCUACAGUUGAAUUAGGUGUUGGCUUUCUAAUUUUUGCUAAUUAAAGCAUGUGCUUUCACAUACUGUCGUUUGAUUUUGUUGUUACUGUUUCCAGUUCUCCUAAGAUGAAUUUGUGCAGCCACAUGCAGGCCUCCAAAAGCGUUGUGUCCUGUCACUAAUAGGUGACUUCUUCAUUUCGAAAUACUCAUGAUUUUCGCCUUUGCCUUACACACACAUGUUUUUUAUGUUCUGUCCACCCCAUUUAUAGCAAAUAUUAUAAUCAAACACCUGUUUAAUGUCAAUCUUUCUGAAAGCUGGGAUGUUUCAGUUUCUCUAGAUGGUGCUGAUUUAUCUAACUUUUAGAAGUGUUUGUUUUAGAAAUGACAGAUAUGUGGACGAAAGACACACUUUUUAUUUUUUAUAGUGACAUUUUACGUGAAUAGAGUUACUCACUGAACUGUGGCUUAGAGAUUCUCCAGCUCAGCAGAGAUUCUCUAAAUGUCUCUGAUUCCUCACCCGAAGUCUGUUUCCUCUGAUCCUCUGAUGCCGUAGAUGAUUG